rnacentral:tRNA from 5 species
GCGGAUGUAGCCAAGUGGAUCAAGGCAGUGGAUUGUGAAUCCACCAUGCGC